rnacentral:sRNA from 1 species
AUUUAAAUUUUCAUUUCAAGGAAGAACUACAUUGUUGAACUAAUUAGAAUGAUCCAUAGAAGCUUUGAUCCUCACUCAACCAAACAUUCUUGAAUUUUUUAAUCAAGCUAAGUCCUAAAGUAUUAAUUGUAGAAUUACGAACUAAGCAUGAACACCAUAAUCGAUAUUAAUGCAGUAUUGCAGUUUGUUAACCUUGUUCUCUUCUUCCUACAUCGUAUCACACAAAACAGUGUUUAGUGUCUCUGGUAAAAUAAUUGCAAGAAACCAGAACAUCCCAAUUGUGAUUCCGAACAGACCAAAUUGCCAUAAUCCAUUAUUCUGAGUUUCUGACCAACAACCACCAUGAUAGCACUAAGAAUUCACCACCAAAACCAAUGUUUGUCUCACCAUAAUCGCUAAAUUUCUAAAGCAUGUUGGAAAUAGCUCAAUUGUAUAUAUCAUCUCCAUGUUAAAAGAAGAGCAGUCACUAAAAUAUUGCCACAAGCCCAUUAUUAACUUUAUCAUCAUGUUACUUUAUCAUAAAUAAAAACUCGAUUAUUGAUUUGGAAAAUUUUGCAAAUCAAUAAAGCAUACGAUAUGGAAUUUUUUUUCAUUCU